ACGGAGGGAGCUAGCGUUGUUCGGAAAUACUGGGCGUAAAGCGCACGUAGGCGGCGCAGCAAGUCAGGGGUGAAAUCCCGGGGCUCAACCCCGGAACUGCCCUUGAAACUGCAGUGCUAGAAUCCUGGAGAGGCGAGUGGAAUUCCGAGUGUAGAGGUGAAAUUCGUAGAUAUUAGGAAGAACACCAGUGGCGAAGGCGGCUCACUGGUCCGGCACUGACGCUGAGGUGCGAAAGCGUGGGGAGCAAACAGGA
rnacentral:rRNA from 1 species